UGAGCCGUGAUCGUCCCUCCUUCGAGAAAUCUCCUCUUGCUCCUGAGUCCCCUGACAUGUGACAUAAAAAGAACAGUGUGCUGGAUGUGGGGGUUGCUACCUUACUGAGUGGUUGAGAAUCUGAGUGUCAGGACUUUGGAUGGGAAAGAAGGGGUGGCCAGCAGUUCAUGGUACCUCUGUAGGUUAUUAGGGUCAAAAGUGGCCCCUGGAAGUUCUUACUCUUCAGGUAAAUGUUGCAGUUCAUAGGAGGGAGAUGAAUAACAGUUUGUAAUUUUUAUGUGUCAUAUAACAGACUACAGAGCACAUACUGUAUCAUGGUCUCCAUUUUGUAAUAUGGCAUUUUUAAAGACUAGGACCAUUGACCUAACUCUGGAUUCAAGUUAUGACUCAUCCUCUUCCUAGCUGUGUGGUUCUGGGCAACUUAGUAUCUCCCUGCUAAAUAUCCUCCUGAGCCCAUGGGCACAGGGUGAGGGAAAGGAAUGGUUAUAUAAACAGUGGCUAGCAAAGUUGCUUACCAGCAAGUAUCAGCUAUCGCUUGUUUGGGAGAUGAAGAGCAUUUGGGGUCCAUGGGUGCUCUGUGCAUUCACACAGAUGAUGGAAUUUGGGUUUGGGACUUGGGGGUCUAUACCACCAGUGGAUAUUUAGUAUGCACUUAACUGCUACAAAGUUACCAUUUUUUUUCCAGGUAGAGUGCACUCUAGGAAGCACUGGCUAGCCUGUUCUGGGGGUCCCUACAGCUGGCUUGAGUCAGUUCCCCAGGUUUUCUUUCUUGUCUUUGUCAAAGUAACCACCCGGUGGAUGGCCAGCACUUACGAGGUGCGGAUGCUCCGAAGGCGGCCCCGUUUGAAGGUGAUGGUGGCGUUCCGGCAGCAGCGGCUCUCGUAGUAGUAGCAUUUCAUAUUGGUGUUGGUUGUGCAGCAGUAUUUACAGUUGGGGUCAUUGGCCCAGGAGCAGCAGCACCAGUGGCAAUUGGGGUUCUCUGCGCAGGUGCAGUGGCAGAAUUGGCAGUUGCGCUCGUCCUUGUAGGGGCAGGGGAAGCAGGUGCAGUUCCGCUCCGAGGUGAAGACGAACUUGCAGCACAGACAGGAGAAGAGCCGAGGGCAGCAUCUCUGCCAGGUGCAGCAUGGAGAACACACACACAUAGCCGUCUCCAUGGCUCUGGGAUCCUUUUGGCACUAGGCCUCCGGAGUUUGGACAACUUCCUCUACUGGAUUCUUGGGGUGACUUUCUCCCUCAGAGGGAUCCUUGCCACCUCUAGUGGGGCUGGCAGUUCGGGAGUUGUGGCAGGAAGUUGGCCAGUUUAGGAGGCUGUCGCAGGUGGUGUCCCUCCUAGGAAGCUUCUGAGCUGGCUUGACCUAUUUCAGCCUGUGGACAUUUGCUUAUGUCAUAAUCCCUGACUCCCACCAUGCCUUAACAUGCUCAGUAGGUAGGAGGAAGGCACCCAGGGGCAGUCUCCAGUCUGGGAGUGCCUACUGGGUGUUUUCCAUGCCAACAACUCAGGAUGUAAGUGCAUACCAACUCCACAGGAAUGGUGGCACCCUGAACCUCCUGGAGACCUUAUCUAAGUUCUCACAUAGAUUCCAGGUGUGAUUUUUCCUUGGUUGGUACUUUUCCUGAUAUUUGGAUUGCGGUCCCUGGAUAUCACCAAGAGGAAGCUGAGCUUUAUGGAAAAAUGGGUGACUUCAGAUCUGGGCAAGCACACAGUAAACAUGGAUCUAUGUCUUAUAACACUUAAAAGUCCCCUCAGAGCUAGUUUCAUUUUGGUAGAGAGCACACAACGGGGGCGGAGGGGUGGGGCAGCAAGCUAGUAUGGCCAGGGCAAGUGACAGCUCAGGAGGGAAGGAACGAGACCCAGCGAGUAUGUGCAGUGGUGCUGAGGUGUGAUGCCCAGGGACCUGAGUAGGACUGAGGCACCCAGUUCCUCCACUAACCUGGAGAGCCAGCUAUUCACAGAUCAGCUAACUAUUUUGAGAACUUGCUUGCAGUGAGGAGAAGCAUCCUCAUCUAAGAUUAUGCCCCUCUUCAAAUAGCUUCCCUGAUUACAGUGGGACAAUUUUAAAGGAUUAUCCCAGUUGCCAAAGAGGUCCUGUUGGAUUGGCUGAGGUUGAUAACUUUGAUUAUAUUACAAUUUGUCUUUUAUUCCUGCUGAGUCCUAUUUACUUCAGUCCCUAUGGUGGUCUGAAUGAGAAAUGUCUCCCAUAGCUCAGGUAUUUGAAUAUUUGGUCUUCUGUUGACCACAUAGUGUGACGUUAUGGAACUUUUAGGAAAUAGUCUUUCUGAAGGAAGUGCCUCACUGAGGGCAGAGCUUAUGGGAUUCUAGUCUUGCCAAAUCUAGAUGACUCUCUCUGCUUUGUGUUUGCUGGUAAAGGUGUGAUGCCUCAGGUUCCUGAUUCUGCCACCUGUGUCCAUCCAUGCCUUCCUUCCCUGCCAUGGUGGAUGCUCUCUCUGGAACGUAAGCCCAAAUAAACUCUUUCUUUUGUAA